rnacentral:rRNA from 1 species
GGGUCAAGCCCUCGGCGGACUGCUCAGUAACACGUGGUUAACCUGCCCUAAGGUGGAGCAUAACCCCGGGAAACUGGGGAUAAUACUCCAUAGGUUAUGGAUGCUGGAAUGCCUCAUAACUCAAAGCUCCGGCGCCUUAGGAUGGAUCUGCGGUCGAUUAGGUUGUUGUUGGGGUAACGGCCCAACAAGCCUGUAAUCGAUACGGGUUGUGGGAGCAAGAGCCCGGAGAUGGAAUCUGAUACACGUUUCCAGGCCCUACGGGGCGCAGCAGGCGCGAAAACUUUACAAUGCAGGAAACUGUGAUAAGGGAACCCCGAGUGCCCGUAUACGCGGGCUGUCCAGGUGUGUAAAAAGCACCUGAAGAAAGGGCCGGGCAA